rnacentral:rRNA from 1 species
CCUACGGGAGGCAGCAGUGGGGGAUAUUGCACACUGGGGGAAACCCUGAUGCAGCGACGCCGCGUGUGGGAAGACGGUCCUCUGGAUUGUAAACCACUGUCCCCAGGGACGAAGAUGACGGUACCUGGGGAGGAAGCUCCGGCUAACUACGUGCCAGCAGCCGCGGUAAUACGUAGGGAGCGAGCGUUGUCCGGAAUUACUGGGGGUAAAGGGAGCGUAGGCGGGGAUGCAAGUUGGGUGUCAAAACUACGGGCUCAACUGGUCGUCGCACUCACAACUGCAGCUCUUGAGUGAAGUAGAGGCAGGCGGAAGUCCUAGUGUAGCGGUGAAAUGCGUAGAUAUUAGGAGGAACACCAGUGGCGAAGGCGGCCUGCUGGGCUUUUACUGACGCUGAGGCUCGAAAGUGUGGGGAGCAAACAGGAUUAGAUACCCUUGUAGUC